ACCCCUGUAUGCACACAAGUUGAACCUAACGGCAUUAAAAGAAAAGGACAAGCUGUGAAAUGCCUAGAUUCCAGAGCAACAGACUGUGAUCCAUUCCCAACAACCCCUCCCUACCGUCUGCCACCAGUUCCCUUAAAGCAGGAAUCAGAGCUAGACUGACUCAACUAAGGAUUGUUUUGGAGAACUUGGAACUCAACAUUCCAUAAAGUA
rnacentral:lncRNA from 1 species